GGGGAAUUAGCUCAAAUGGUAGAGUGCUCGCUUAGCAUGUGAGAGGUAGCGGGAUCAAUGCCUGCGCAUUCUCCA
rnacentral:tRNA from 1 species